CAGCUCCUCUAGACCGGU
rnacentral:misc_RNA from 1 species